rnacentral:rRNA from 1 species
GUAGUCUGCAACUCGACUACAUGAAGCUGGAAUCGCUAGUAAUCGCGAAUCAGAAUGUCGCGGUGAAUACGUUCCCGGGUCUUGUACACACCGCCCGUCACCACCAUGGGAGUCAGUAACGCCCGAAGCCGGUGACCCAACCAGUUCUGGAGGGAGCCGUCGAAGGUGGGACCGAUAACUGGGGUGAAGUCGUAACAAGGUAGC